CCGGGUCGACUUAUACCCGGGGUCAAUCGGCCCACCGGACCGAGAACGCGCUCCGGCUCGGAUGCUGGCAUAAUGGUGUAACGGCCCGUCUUGAAACACGGACCAAGGAGUCUAACAUCUAUGCGAGUGUUUGGGUGUUAAACCCCUACGCGUAAUGAAAGUGAAUGGAGGUAAGAACCCCGCCUAGGGGCGCAUUAUCGACCGAUCCUGAUGUCUUCGGAUGGAUUUGAGUAAGAGCAUAGCUGUUGGGACCCGAAAGAUGGUGAACUAUGCCUGAAUAGGGUGAAGCCAGAGGAAACUCUGGUGGAGGCUCGCAGCGGUUCUGACGUGCAAAUCGAUCGUCAAAUUUGGGCAUAGGGGCGAAAGACUAAUCGAACCGUCGAGGCGGAUUACCGGGCGGUUCUUAACAAGUCCUUUGGGGGCUACAUCGUCCCUCUGGCGGGGUCCAACACCCGCAGCAGCUCCGGCUGUCCACCAGACUAGGGAGACGAUGGUCAUCUCCACGGUCGAGAUGAUGAUGGUAUAGUCGGUUUGGUGGAGUCUCCGCCCAAAACAAACCGCUGGUAGCUGGUUCCUGUCGAAGUUUCCCUCAGGAUAGCAGUACGUAUUCAGUUUAUGAGGUAAAGCGAAUGAUUAGAGGCCUGGGGUUGAAGCGACCUUAACCUAUUCUCAAACUUUAAAUAUGUAAGAAGUCCUUGUUACUUGAUUGAACGUGGACACUUGAAUGCAUCGUUACUAGUGGGCCAUUUUUGGUAAGCAGAACUGGCGAUGCGGGAUGAACCGAACGUGAGGUUAAGGUGCCGGAAUGCACGCUCAUCAGACACCACAAAAGGUGUCAAUGCAUCCAGACAGCCGGACGGUGGCCAUGGAAGUCGGAAUCCGCUUAGGAGUGUGUAACAACUCACCGGCCGAAUGCAUUGGCCCUGAAAAUGGAUGGCGCUUAAGCGUGCUACCUAUACCUCGCCGUUGGGGUUGAAAUGAUGCCCCAACGAGUAGGCAGGCGUGGAGAUUGGUGACGAAG
rnacentral:rRNA from 1 species